AUGGGCAGGCUGUUCCGAUCUUUCUGUUUCGACCUCGCGCAGAAAAGGAUGGAUGGAGCUGCAUCUUUUUGCCCAAAUUCAGCAAAAGGUAGGGUAUCUACCUCCUAGCCUACUGGUCGAUGCUGACAACUUGUCAAAUGCAAGCCUUCCGAUCCAGACUCUAAAUCCUACACAUGCAUAGUAUCAAAAGUAGCCCCCGAUAUAGAUUCCAAAUGUUAGGCAAGUAUCGUUGACAUCACUACAUAGAUUCUGCUUCAGUUGCUGUUGAACGCAGCUGUUGCAAUACAGGCGCUGCUGGAAGGGCCGAGAUGGCCGGCAUUCACUUCCUUUUCGUGUUUUUUGAUUAUUUUAUUUUGAUUUUAUUCGAACUCCUACCUCAUACUUCCUCC
rnacentral:lncRNA from 1 species